rnacentral:rRNA from 1 species
ACGGGUGAGUAACGCGUGGGUAACCUGCCUUAUACAGGGGGAUAACAGUCAGAAAUGGCUGCUAAUACCGCAUAAGCGCACAGAGCUGCAUGGCUCAGUGUGAAAAACUCCGGUGGUAUAAGAUGGACCCGCGUUGGAUUAGCUGGUUGGUGGGGUAACGGCCCACCAAGGCGACGAUCCAUAGCCGGCCUGAGAGGGUGAACGGCCACAUUGGGACUGAGACACGGCCCAGACUCCUACGGGAGGCAGCAUG